rnacentral:rRNA from 1 species
CGGGUGAGUAACACGUGGGUGAUCUGCCUUGCACUUCGGGAUAAGCCUGGGAAACUGGGUCUAAUACCGGAUAUGACCUCGGGAUGCAUGUUCUGUAAUGGAAAGAUUUAUCGGUGCGAGAUGGGCCCGCGGCCUAUCAGCUUGUUGGUGAGGUAACGGCUCACCAAGGCGACGACGGGUAGCCGACCUGAGAGGGUGACCGGCCACACUGGGACUGAGACACGGCCCAGACUCCUACGGGAGGCAGCAGUGGGGAAUAUUGCACAAUGGGCGAAAGCCUGAUGCAGCGACGCCGCGUGCGGGAUGACGGCCUUCGGGUUGUAAACCGCUUUUGACAGGGACGAAGCGCAAGUGACUGUACCUGUAGAAUAAGGACCGGCCAACUACGUGCCAGCAGCCGCGGUAAUACGUAGGGUCCGAGCGUUGUCCGGAAUUACUGGGCGUAAAGAGCUUGUAGGCGGUUCGUCGCGUCGUUUGUGAAAACUUGGGGCUCAACCUUAAGCUUGCAGGCGAUACGGGCGGACUAGAGUACUUCAGGGGAGACUGGAAUUCCUGGUGUAGCGGUGAAAUGCGCAGAUAUCAGGAGGAACACCGGUGGCGAAGGCGGGUCUCUGGGAAGUAACUGACGCUGAGAAGCGAAAGCAUGGGUAGCAAACAGGAUUAGAUACCCUGGUAGUCCAUGCCGUAAACGGUGGGUACUAGGUGUGGGGCUCCUUCCACGGACUCCGUGCCGUAGCUAACGCAUUAAGUACCCCGCCUGGGGAGUACGGCCGCAAGGCUAAAACUCAAAGAAAUUGACGGGGGCCCGCACAAGCGGCGGAGCAUGUGGAUUAAUUCGAUGCAACGCGAAGAACCUUACCUGGGUUUGACAUACACCGGAAACCUGCAGAGAUGUAGGCCCCCUUGUGGUCGGUGUACAGGUGGUGCAUGGCUGUCGUCAGCUCGUGUCGUGAGAUGUUGGGUUAAGUCCCGCAACGAGCGCAACCCUUAUCUUAUGUUGCCAGCGCGUAAUGGCGGGGACUCGUGAGAGACUGCCGGGGUCAACUCGGAGGAAGGUGGGGACGACGUCAAGUCAUCAUGCCCCUUAUGUCCAGGGCUUCACACAUGCUACAAUGGCCGGUACAGAGGGCUGCGAGACCGUGAGGUGGAGCGAAUCCCUUAAAGCCGGUCUCAGUUCGGAUCGGGGUCUGCAACUCGACCCCGUGAAGUUGGAGUCGCUAGUAAUCGCAGAUCAGCAACGCUGCGGUGAAUACGUUCCCGGGCCUUGUACACACCGCCCGUCACGUCAUGAAAGUCGGUAACACCCG